CACUAUCGUUAACUGAAUACAUAGGUUAACGAGGCGAACCGGGGGAACUGAAACAUCUAAGUACCCCGAGGAAAAGAAAUCAACCGAGAUUCCCCCAGUAGCGGCGAGCGAACGGGGAGCAGCCCAGAGUCUGAAUCAGCUUGUGUGUUAGUGGAACGGUCUGGAAAGUCCGACGGUACAGGGUGAUAGUCCCGUACACCAAAAUGCACAGGUUGUGAACUCGAAGAGUAGGGCGGGACACGUGGUAUCCUGUCUGAAUAUGGGGGGACCAUCCUCCAAGGCUAAAUACUCCUGACUGACCGAUAGUGAACCAGUACCGUGAGGGAAAGGCGAAAAGAACCCCGGCGAGGGGAGUGAAAAAGAACCUGAAACCGUGUACGUACAAGCAGUGGGAGCACCUUCGGGUGUGACUGCGUACCUUUUGUAUAAUGGGUCAGCGACUUAUAUUCUGUAGCAAGGUUAACCGUAUAGGGGAGCCGCAGGGAAACCGAGUCUUAACUGGGCGUUAAGUUGCAGGGUAUAGACCCGAAACCCGGUGAUCUAGCCAUGGGCAGGUUGAAGGUUGGGUAACACUAACUGGAGGACCGAACCGACUAAUGUUGAAAAAUUAGCGGAUGACUUGUGGCUGGGGGUGAAAGGCCAAUCAAACCGGGAGAUAGCUGGUUCUCCCCGAAAGCUAUUUAGGUAGCGCCUCGUGAAUUCAUCUUCGGGGGUAGAGCACUGUUUCGGCUAGGGGGUCAUCCCGACUUACCAACCCGAUGCAAACUACGAAUACCGAAGAAUGUUAUCACGGGAGACACACGGCGGGUGCUAACGUCCGUCGUGAAGAGGGAAACAACCCAGACCGCCAGCUAAGGUCCCAAAGUCAUGGUUAAGUGGGAAACGAUGUGGGAAGGCACAGACAGCCAGGAUGUUGGCUUAGAAGCAGCCAUCAUUUAAAGAAAGCGUAAUAGCUCACUGGUCGAGUCGGCCUGCGCGGAAGAUGUAACGGGGCUAAACCAUGCACCGAAGCUGCGGCAGCGACACUAUGUGUUGUUGGGUAGGGGAGCGUUCUGUAAGCCUGCGAAGGUGUGCUGUGAGGCAUGCUGGAGGUAUCAGAAGUGCGAAUGCUGACAUAAGUAACGAUAAAGCGGGUGAAAAGCCCGCUCGCCGGAAGACCAAGGGUUCCUGUCCAACGUUAAUCGGGGCAGGGUGAGUCGACCCCUAAGGCGAGGCCGAAAGGCGUAGUCGAUGGGAAACAGGUUAAUAUUCCUGUACUUGGUGUUACUGCGAAGGGGGGACGGAGAAGGCUAUGUUAGCCGGGCGACGGUUGUCCCGGUUUAAGCAUGUAGGCUGAUUGUCCAGGCAAAUCCGGAUAAUCAAGGCUGAGGUGUGAUGACGAGGCACUACGGUGCUGAAGUAACAAAUGCCCUGCUUCCAGGAAAAGCCUCUAAGCAUCAGGUAACAUCAAAUCGUACCCCAAACCGACACAGGUGGUCAGGUAGAGAAUACCAAGGCGCUUGAGAGAACUCGGGUGAAGGAACUAGGCAAAAUGGUGCCGUAACUUCGGGAGAAGGCACGCUGGUGUGUAGGUGAAGUCCCUGCGGAUGGAGCUGAGACCAGUCGAAGAUACCAGCUGGCUGCAACUGUUUAUUAAAAACACAGCACUGUGCAAACACGAAAGUGGACGUAUACGGUGUGACGCCUGCCCGGUGCCGGAAGGUUAAUUGAUGGGGUUAUCCGUAAGGAGAAGCUCUUGAUCGAAGCCCCGGUAAACGGCGGCCGUAACUAUAACGGUCCUAAGGUAGCGAAAUUCCUUGUCGGGUAAGUUCCGACCUGCACGAAUGGCGUAAUGAUGGCCAGGCUGUCUCCACCCGAGACUCAGUGAAAUUGAACUCGCUGUGAAGAUGCAGUGUACCCGCGGCAAGACGGAAAGACCCCGUGAACCUUUACUAUAGCUUGACACUGAACAUUGAGCCUUGAUGUGUAGGAUAGGUGGGAGGCUUUGAAGCGUGGACGCCAGUCUGCGUGGAGCCAACCUUGAAAUACCACCCUUUAAUGUUUGAUGUUCUAACGUUGGCCCCUGACCGGGGUUGCGGACAGUGUCUGGUGGGUAGUUUGACUGGGGCGGUCUCCUCCCAAAGCGUAACGGAGGAGCACGAAGGUUAGCUAAUCCUGGUCGGACAUCAGGAGGUUAGUGCAAUGGCAUAAGCUAGCUUGACUGCGAGCGUGACGGCGCGAGCAGGUGCGAAAGCAGGUCAUAGUGAUCCGGUGGUUCUGAAUGGAAGGGCCAUCGCUCAACGGAUAAAAGGUACUCCGGGGAUAACAGGCUGAUACCGCCCAAGAGUUCAUAUCGACGGCGGUGUUUGGCACCUCGAUGUCGGCUCAUCACAUCCUGGGGCUGAAGUAGGUCCCAAGGGUAUGGCUGUUCGCCAUUUAAAGUGGUACGCGAGCUGGGUUUAGAACGUCGUGAGACAGUUCGGUCCCUAUCUGCCGUGGGCGCUGGAGAAUUGAGGGGGGCUGCUCCUAGUACGAGAGGACCGGAGUGGACGCAUCACUGGUGUUCGGGUUGUCAUGCCAAUGGCACUGCCCGGUAGCUAAAUGCGGAAGAGAUAAGUGCUGAAAGCAUCUAAGCACGAAACUUGCCCCGAGAUGAGUUCUCCCUGAGACUUUAAGUCUCCUGAAGGAACGUU
rnacentral:rRNA from 1 species